CGAAUCAUCUGGAAAGAUGAAUCAAAGAAGGUAAUAAUCCUGUAGUCGAAAAUGUUGUCUCUCUUGAGUGGAUCCUGAGUACGACGGAGCACGUGAAAUUCCGUCGGAAUCUGGGAGGACCAUCUCCUAAGGCUAAAUACUCUCUAGUGACCGAUAGUGAACCAGUACCGUGAGGGAAAGGUGAAAAGCACCCCGGAAGGGGAGUGAAAUAGAACCUGAAACCGUGUGCUUACAAGUAGUCAGAGCCCGUUAAUGGGUGAUGGCGUGCCUUUUGUAGAAUGAACCGGCGAGUUACGAUUUGAUGCAAGGUUAAGCAGUAAAUGUGGAGCCGUAGCGAAAGCGAGUCUGAAUAGGGCGUUUAGUAUUUGGUCGUAGACCCGAAACCAGGUGAUCUACCCUUGGUCAGGUUGAAGUUCAGGUAACACUGAAUGGAGGACCGAACCGACUUACGUUGAAAAGUGAGCGGAUGAACUGAGGGUAGCGGAGAAAUUCCAAUCGAACCUGGAGAUAGCUGGUUCUCUCCGAAAUAGCUUUAGGGCUAGCCUCAAGUGAUGAUUAUUGGAGGUAGAGCACUGUUUGGACGAGGGGCCCCUCUCGGGUUACCGAAUUCAGACAAACUCCGAAUGCCAAUUAAUUUAACUUGGGAGUCAGAACAUGGGUGAUAAGGUCCGUGUUCGAAAGGGAAACAGCCCAGACCACCAGCUAAGGUCCCAAAAUAUAUGUUAAGUGGAAAAGGAUGUGGCGUUGCCCAGACAACUAGGAUGUUGGCUUAGAAGCAGCCAUCAUUUAAAGAGUGCGUAAUAGCUCACUAGUCGAGUGACACUGCGCCGAAAAUGUACCGGGGCUAAACAUAUUACCGAAGCUGUGGAUUGUCCUUUGGACAAUGGUAGGAGAGCGUUCUAAGGGCGUUGAAGCAUGAUCGUAAGGACAUGUGGAGCGCUUAGAAGUGAGAAUGCCGGUGUGAGUAGCGAAAGACGGGUGAGAAUCCCGUCCACCGAUUGACUAAGGUUUCCAGAGGAAGGCUCGUCCGCUCUGGGUUAGUCGGGUCCUAAGCUGAGGCCGACAGGCGUAGGCGAUGGAUAACAGGUUGAUAUUCCUGUACCACCUAUAAUCGUUUUAAUCGAUGGGGGGACGCAGUAGGAUAGGCGAAGCGUGCGAUUGGAUUGCACGUCUAAGCAGUAAGGCUGAGUAUUAGGCAAAUCCGGUACUCGUUAAGGCUGAGCUGUGAUGGGGAGAAGACAUUGUGUCUUCGAGUCGUUGAUUUCACACUGCCGAGAAAAGCCUCUAGAUAGAAAAUAGGUGCCCGUACCGCAAACCGACACAGGUAGUCAAGAUGAGAAUUCUAAGGUGAGCGAGCGAACUCUCGUUAAGGAACUCGGCAAAAUGACCCCGUAACUUCGGGAGAAGGGGUGCUCUUUAGGGUUAACGCCCAGAAGAGCCGCAGUGAAUAGGCCCAAGCGACUGUUUAUCAAAAACACAGGUCUCUGCUAAACCGUAAGGUGAUGUAUAGGGGCUGACGCCUGCCCGGUGCUGGAAGGUUAAGAGGAGUGGUUAGCUUCUGCGAAGCUACGAAUCGAAGCCCCAGUAAACGGCGGCCGUAACUAUAACGGUCCUAAGGUAGCGAAAUUCCUUGUCGGGUAAGUUCCGACCCGCACGAAAGGCGUAACGAUUUGGGCACUGUCUCAACGAGAGACUCGGUGAAAUCAUAGUACCUGUGAAGAUGCAGGUUACCCGCGACAGGACGGAAAGACCCCGUGGAGCUUUACUGUAGCCUGAUAUUGAAAUUCGGCACAGCUUGUACAGGAUAGGUAGGAGCCUUUGAAACGUGAGCGCUAGCUUACGUGGAGGCGCUGGUGGGAUACUACCCUAGCUGUGUUGGCUUUCUAACCCGCACCACUUAUCGUGGUGGGAGACAGUGUCAGGCGGGCAGUUUGACUGGGGCGGUCGCCUCCUAAAAGGUAACGGAGGCGCUCAAAGGUUCCCUCAGAAUGGUUGGAAAUCAUUCAUAGAGUGUAAAGGCAUAAGGGAGCUUGACUGCGAGACCUACAAGUCGAGCAGGGUCGAAAGACGGACUUAGUGAUCCGGUGGUU
rnacentral:rRNA from 1 species